CAAAAGAAGAUGCUCAACUCAGACUGAAGCUCUUUUGGCUGAGGUGGACGGGUUAAUGAACACAGCAAUGGCUUAGAUUUAAAAUAUAUAUUUUCAUAGAAUGCAUCAUUGGUUUCCUUUUUGUGGCACCAGAAUGAAUGUAUGACCCUAUUUGAAGGCGAAUAGUUUUCAACUGUGUCAUGUGCGACUGAUGCCUUGCAGCACGAGUGCAGGAAGAAGAGAGAAACUGAGCAAAAAAAAACUCAAGAGGAGAAGAGUAACAGCCGAGAAGAGGCGAGGCAGCUAAUUUAACCUGGAGCGACACUAUGACCUUGUCCUGCGCAGGAAUCAAUCACCAGAACUUCCAGGUUCCGACGCCUCGACCAGCUCCUUCCUGCUGCGCGUCCGUGCGAGGCCGCAGAAGCGCCGCCCACGCCGUGUCACCAUAAAAACAAGUCUUAUUCAACGCUGGCCUGGCACGUUCGCAGAGAGCUGCGUUGUGUGGACGCCGGUACAAUCUGGUUGAUUUGUCAUUAGCUGUUCACCAGAAGCAGCAACGGCAACAAUCAGAAGACUGUCAGCUCUCAAUAAUGUGCCUGGAGGAAUUACAUCACACAUAACGAGGUCAUCCUCGGACGCAGCAGACCAGAUAACAAGCAGCUACCUGGUGAACGCAGUGGGGCGUUCGUCUUCAAGGCUGAC